CUGCACCGGGGGAUGAGAUCAAGACUGUCCCUCUUCCCCAAGGCUGGAGAUGUUACAUGUCACCCGAGGGAUGCAGGUACUACGUCAACACUGCCAGCAAAGAAACAACAUGGGAACGGCCCUCUGCCUCUUAUGGGACCCCAGUGAGACCACCGGCACAAAGGAACUCCUUACCCGAAGUCAAUGGAUCAUGUCACACCACAGGAAGUGCUAUGCAUCCCACGGACCCCCUUGGUGUG